rnacentral:other from 1 species
UGUCCCCUGCUGAGUUCGUGCUUGGUCAGCAGAAAUUCGAACCGAUACGUCCAUAUUGGGGGUCGUUUAGUGGGCCCUGUGCAAGCCCUCCCCGCAAGGGAGAGGGAAGCCUAAAGCCCACGCUUCGGUCCCCACCUGGUUUUUCAGGGUUCAAUGGAUGUUGACCACACGGCUCGGUGGCGGGGGACGU